UACGGGGGGGGCAAGCGUUGUUCGGAAUUACUGGGCGUAAAGGGCUCGUCGGCGGCCAACUAAGUCGGAUGUGAAAUCCCCAGGCUUAACUUGGGAACUGCAUCCGAUACUGGAUGGCUUGAAUCCGGGAGAGGGAUGCGGAAUUCCAGGUGUAGCGGUGAAAUGCGUAGAUAUCUGGAGGAACACCGGUGGCGAAGGCGGCAUCCUGGACCAACACUGACGCUGAGGAGCGAAAGCCAGGGGAGCAAACGGG
rnacentral:rRNA from 1 species